rnacentral:rRNA from 1 species
AUACGUAGGGGGCGAGCGUUGUCCGGAAUUAUUGGGCGUAAAGGGCGCGUAGGCGGCCCGGUAAGUCUGGAGUGAAAGUCCUGUUUUUAAGAUGGGAAUUGCUUUGGAUACUGUCGGGCUUGAGUGCAGGAGAGGUAAGUGGAAUUCCCAGUGUAGCGGUGAAAUGGGUAGAGAUUGGGAGGAACACCAGUGGCGAAGGCGGCUUACUGGACUGUAACUGACGCUGAGGCGCGAAAGUGUGGGGAGCAAACAGGAUUAGAUACCCUGGUAGUCCACACUGUAAACGAUGAAUGCUAGGUGUAGGGGGUAUCGACCCCUUCUGUGCCGCAGUCAACACAAUAAGCAUUCCGCCUGGGGAGUACGGCCGCAAGGUUGAAACUCAAAGGAAUUGACGGGG